UGACGAGUGGCGGACGGGUGAGUAAUGUCUGGGAAACUGCCUGAUGGAGGGGGAUAACUACUGGAAACGGUGGCUAAUACCGCAUAACGUCGCAAGACCAAAGAGGGGGACCUUCGGGCCUCUUGCCAUCAGAUGUGCCCAGAUGGGAUUAGCUUGUUGGUGAGGUAACGGCUCACCAAGGCGACGAUCCCUAGCUGGUCUGAGAGGAUGACCAGCCACACUGGAACUGAGACACGGUCCAGACUCCUACGGGAGGCAGCAGUGGGGAAUAUUGCACAAUGGGCGCAAGCCUGAUGCAGCCAUGCCGCGUGUAUGAAGAAGGCCUUCGGGUUGUAAAGUACUUUCAGCGGGGAGGAAGGUGUUGUGGUUAAUAACCGCAGCAAUUGACGUUACCCGCAGAAGAAGCACCGGCUAACUCCGUGCCAGCAGCCGCGGUAAUACGGAGGGUGCAAGCGUUAAUCGGAAUUACUGGGCGUAAAGCGCACGCAGGCGGUCUGUCAAGUCGGAUGUGAAAUCCCCGGGCUCAACCUGGGAACUGCAUUCGAAACUGGCAGGCUUGAGUCUUGUAGAGGGGGGUAGAAUUCCAGGUGUAGCGGUGAAAUGCGUAGAGAUCUGGAGGAAUACCGGUGGCGAAGGCGGCCCCCUGGACAAAGACUGACGCUCAGGUGCGAAAGCGUGGGGAGCAAACAGGAUUAGAUACCCUGGUAGUCCACGCCGUAAACGAUGUCUACUUGGAGGUUGUGCCCUUGAGGCGUGGCUUCCGGAGCUAACGCGUUAAGUAGACCGCCUGGGGAGUACGGCCGCAAGGUUAAAACUCAAAUGAAUUGACGGGGGCCCGCACAAGCGGUGGAGCAUGUGGUUUAAUUCGAUGCAACGCGAAGAACCUUACCUGGUCUUGACAUCCACAGAAGAAUCCAGAGAUGGAUUUGUGCCUUCGGGAACUGUGAGACAGGUGCUGCAUGGCUGUCGUCAGCUCGUGUUGUGAAAUGUUGGGUUAAGUCCCGCAACGAGCGCAACCCUUAUCCUUUGUUGCCAGCGGUCCGGCCGGGAACUCAAAGGAGACUGCCAGUGAUAAACUGGAGGAAGGUGGGGAUGACGUCAAGUCAUCAUGGCCCUUACGACCAGGGCUACACACGUGCUACAAUGGCGCAUACAAAGAGAAGCGACCUCGCGAGAGCAAGCGGACCUCAUAAAGUGCGUCGUAGUCCGGAUUGGAGUCUGCAACUCGACUCCAUGAAGUCGGAAUCGCUAGUAAUCGUGGAUCAGAAUGCCACGGUGAAUACGUUCCCGGGCCUUGUACACACCGCCCGUCACACCAUGGGAGUGGGUUGCAAAAGAAGUAGGUAGCUUAACCUUCGGGAGGGCGCUUACCACUUUGUGAUUCAUGACUGGGGUGAAGUCGUAACAAGGUAACCGUAGGGGAACCUGCGGUUGGAUCACCUCCUUACC
rnacentral:rRNA from 2 species